ensembl:miRNA pma-mir-19c pma-mir-19c
CCUCUGUCAGUUUUGCAGAUUUGCACUGCGGUGGUGCCUCGUUCCCAAGCUGUGCAAAUCCCCUGCAAAACUGAUGGCGA